rnacentral:tRNA from 1 species
GCGGAAGUGGCGGAAUUGGCAGACGCGCAGGCCUCAGGAGCCUGUGAGACCUAGUCUCAUGGGGGUUCAAGUCCCCCCUUCCGCACCA